rnacentral:tRNA from 2 species
UAGCGUGUAGCUCAAAGGUAGAGCGAGGCCAUAAAGCUAGGGUUGCGGGUUCGAAUCCCGUCACGUAA